GAUGAACGCUGGCGGCGUGCCUAAUACAUGCAAGUCGAGCGAACGGACGAGAAGCUUGCUUCUCUGAUGUUAGCGGCGGACGGGUGAGUAACACGUGGAUAACCUACCUAUAAGACUGGGAUAACUUCGGGAAACCGGAGCUAAUACCGGAUAAUAUUUUGAACCGCAUGGUUCAAAAGUGAAAGACGGUCUUGCUGUCACUUAUAGAUGGAUCCGCGCUGCAUUAGCUAGUUGGUAAGGUAACGGCUUACCAAGGCAACGAUGCAUAGCCGACCUGAGAGGGUGAUCGGCCACACUGGAACUGAGACACGGUCCAGACUCCUACGGGAGGCAGCAGUAGGGAAUCUUCCGCAAUGGGCGAAAGCCUGACGGAGGAACGCCGCGUGAGUGAUGAAGGUCUUCGGAUCGUAAAACUCUGUUAUUAGGGAAGAACAUAUGUGUAAGUAACUGUGCACAUCUUGACGGUACCUAAUCAGAAAGCCACGGCUAACUACGUG
rnacentral:rRNA from 1 species